GAUGAACGCUGGCGGCGUGCCUAAUACAUGCAAGUCGAGCGAAUGGAUUAAGAGCUUGCUCUUAUGAAGUUAGCGGCGGACGGGUGAGUAACACGUGGGUAACCUGCCCAUAAGACUGGGAUAACUCCGGGAAACCGGGGCUAAUACCGGAUAACAUUUUGAACCGCAUGGUUCGAAAUUGAAAGGCGGCUUCGGCUGUCACUUAUGGAUGGACCCGCGUCGCAUUAGCUAGUUGGUGAGGUAACGGCUCACCAAGGCAACGAUGCGUAGCCGACCUGAGAGGGGGAUCGGCUAAACUGGGACUGAGACACGGCCCAGACUCCUACGGGAGGCAGCAGUAGGGAAUCUUCCGCAAUGGACGAAAGUCUGACGGAGCAACGCCGCGUGAGUGAUGGAGGCUUUCGGGUCGUAAAACUCUGUUGUUAGGGAAGAACAAGUGCUAGUUGAAUAAGCUGGCACCUUGACGGUACCUAACCAGAAAGCCACGGCUAACUACGUGCCAGCCGCCGCGGUAA
rnacentral:rRNA from 1 species